CGAGAGAGAGCUUGCUUUCUCGAGCGAGUGGCGAACGGGUGAGUAACGCGUGAGGAACCUGCCUUUCAGUGGGGGACAACAGUUGGAAACGACUGCUAAUACCGCAUAAGCGCACGGUAUCGCAUGAUACAGUGUGAAAAACUCCGGUGGUAUGAGAUGGACCCGCGUCUGAUUAGUUAGUUGGUGGGGUAACGGCCUACCAAGGCGACGAUCGGUAGCCGACCUGAGAGGGUGAUCGGCCACAUUGGGACUGAGACACGGCCCAAACUCC
rnacentral:rRNA from 1 species